AAAAAUUUAGUUAACUUAUAACAUUAGUAUGUCAAACUAAAAUAAUUAAACCAGAAAUUAAUAAUUUUUA
rnacentral:tRNA from 1 species